rnacentral:tRNA from 1 species
CCAGGACCUGGGCCAGGGCCAGCUCCUCGGCGCUGAUGCCGUCGUAGAGGUUGCGCUUGGCCUCGGCCAGCACCGGCUCGGCGCUGACGUCUUCGA